AAGGAUUCUUAUGGAACUGUUAUCUUUAGGGUGAGUGAAAUGUCAGAUCUGUUAGUCUGGGAAGGAUUCUUAUGGAACUGUUAUCUUUAGGGUGAGUGAAAUGUCAGAUCUGUUAGUCUGGGAAGGAUUCUUAUGGAACUGUUAUCUUUAGGGUGAGUGAAAUGUCAGAUCUGUUAGUCUGGGAAGGAUUCUUAUGGAACUGUUAUCUUUAGGGUGAGUGAAAUGUCAGAUCUGUUAGUCUGGGAAGGAUUCUUUAUGGAACUGUUAUCUUUAGGGUGAGUGAAAUGUCAGAUCUGUUAGUCUGGGAAGGAUUCUUAUGGAGCUGUUAUCUUUAGGGUGAGUGAAAUGUCAGAUCUGUUAGUCUGGGAAGGAUUCUUAUGGAGCUGUUAUCUUUAGGGUGAGUGAAAUGUCAGAUCUGUUAGUCUGGGAAGGAUUCUUAUGGAACUGUUAUCUUUAGGGUGAGUGAAAUGUCAGAUCUGUUAGUCUGGGAAGGAUUCUUAUGGAGCUGUUAUCUUUAGGGUGAGUGAAAUGUCAGAUCUGUUUGU